rnacentral:rRNA from 1 species
GACGAACGCUGGCGGCGUGCCUAAUACAUGCAAGUAGAACGCACAGUUUAUACCGUAGCUUGCUACACCAUAGACUGUGAGUUGCGAACGGGUGAGUAACGCGUAGGUAACCUGCCUGGUAGCGGGGGAUAACUAUUGGAAACGAUAGCUAAUACCGCAUAAUAUUAAUUAUUGCAUGAUAAUUAAUUGAAAGGUGCAAUUGCACCACUACCAGAUGGACCUGCGUUGUAUUAGCUAGUAGGUGAGGUAACGGCUCACCUAGGCGACGAUACAUAGCCGACCUGGGAGGGUGAUCGGCCACACUGGGACUGAGACACGGCCCAGACUCCUAACGGAGGCAGCAGUAGGGAAUCUUCGGCAAUGGACGAAAGUCUGACCGAGCAACGCCGCGUGAGUGAAGAAGGUUUUCGGAUCGUAAAGCUCUGUUGUAAGAGAAGAACGGGUGUGAGAGUGGAAAGUUCACACUGUGACGGUAUCUUACCAGAAAGGGACGGCUAACUACGUG